rnacentral:rRNA from 1 species
CGCGCCUUCGGGUGAGCGGCGGACGGGUUAGUAACGCGUGGGAACGUGCCCUUCUCUACGGAAUAGCCUCUGGAAACGGAGAGUAAUACCGUAUACGCCCUUUGGGGGAAAGAUUUAUCGGAGAAGGAUCGGCCCGCGUUAGAUUAGGUAGUUGGUGGGGUAAUGGCCUACCAAGCCUACGAUCUAUAGCUGGUUUUAGAGGAUGAUCAGCAACACUGGGACUGAGACACGGCCCAGACUCCUACGGGAGGCAGCAGUGGGGAAUCUUAGACAAUGGGGGCAACCCUGAUCUAGCCAUGCCGCGUGAGUGAUGAAGGCCUUAGGGUCGUAAAGCUCUUUCGCCUGUGAUGAUAAUGACAGUAGCAGGUAAAGAAACCCCGGCUAACUCCGUGCCAGCAGCCGCGGUAAUACGGAGGGGGCUAGCGUUGUUCGGAAUUACUGGGCGUAAAGCGCGCGUAGGCGGAUUAGAA